UGAGGCCGUCAUAAGUCAUGUUGGUGUCU
rnacentral:piRNA from 1 species